AACACUGUUAACCUGCGGUACCUGCGGAGGGAUCAUUAACACGUAUCCAAUACCUUACACCGCAAACUGUUUAUUUGUUUGGUAUCUCACUACCGAACAGUGCAUGCACCUCGCUGUGCGGCGCUGCUAGGUAACUGAGUGCCAUUCAUUAACUUAAACACCUUUCAUUUUAGUCUGAAUCUGGGUGGUCUGGUUAAACAGCCACAUCAAUCAACUAAAAUACAACUUUCAACAAUGGAU
rnacentral:misc_RNA from 1 species